UUGGUCCUCCUCUCCCCUUCUUCUUUGUCUGCUUUUUUUAUAUCUUUGAUUGGCUGCAGAAAAAAAUUUUAUUGAAUGAUUUCAUUUAUUAUAAUAAGAAAAAAAUAAUAAUAAAUAAAGUUAUCAUCUCUGUUUGAAACUCAGCAAGUUCCAUGGCCAUGGCUUCAACUUCAGCAGCAGCAGACCACUGAAGAGGUUGUUUGUGGUGGGAAAUUUGGGCAGAGAAUUUCAGGUGAGCUCCAAUUUAAGGGACGAUUUUAUGUGUCGAUUUGCUCAAUUUGCUGAUUGAUGGUUAGAUUAUGAAAGUUCUGGCAUGGGACUUUCUUAUUAAUGGCUUCCAUGCAAUUUGGAUUUCAGACUUAUAAACUGGAAGUUGUGGAGGAUUCAUAACAUGCCUUUUCACUUGUUUUAUAGCUGGGCAUUGUAAGAUGGCAAAACAAGUGACAACCCUUUUCCUUGAAGAUUGGUUGAAGAGUAUCAGUGGCUGUAGUAGUGCCUUCAAUUCUGCAAAUUCUUCUCCCUCAUCAGCAAGAGCCAUUAUUCAAGCAUGGGCUGAGCUUAGGGACUCCCUCCAGCACCAGUCUUUCCAUUCCCAACAUCUCCAGUCGCUGAAAACACUCAUUAACUCUCAAACUUCUCUACAUGUUGCAGACCCGCAAGCAAAACUUGUCCUUUCAAUCUUAUCCUCACCAAAACUCUCUCUUCCUCAUGAAUCAUAUCCUCUAUUUCUCAGGCUUCUGUACAUAUGGGUGAAGAAAUCCACCAGACCCUCUUCAGUUCUGAUUGAUUCAGCUGUGGAGGUUAUCGCUCACUUUUUCUUGACCCAAUUUGAUCAUAGCAAGAGCCCUAUCCUCUUUUCUGAAGGUUUACUGCUUCUGGGUUUCCUUUCUUCUGCACCUUUAUCAUCUGAAAGCUCCAAAACAGUCUCCUUAGGGUUGAUUUCUAGGUUAUUGGAAAAAAGAUACCGUCUAAUUGGUUCAUUUCAAGACAUUAUUCCAAAUGUGCUUGCCGGAAUUGGGUAUGCUUUAUCUUCUUCAGUGAGUGUUCAUUAUUCUAGAAUUUUGAAUUCAUUGUUGGGGAUUUGGGGCAAGGAAGGUGGGCCUCCAGGUAGCCUUUCUCAUGGGCUCAUGAUUUUGCAUUUAAUGGAAUGGGUAACUUCAAGUUCAAUCAAUUCCCGUUCUGUGGAGAAACUUAAUGUUUUUUCUCAUGAUACUUUAGAGACCUUGAAGGCAAGCUCUGUUCCAUUUGCUGUUGUCAUGGCUGCAGCUGGAGUACUGAGGACCUUGAAUAAAUCCGCAGUCAAUGGCGCUGGGUUGGAUAUUGUUUCCAGACUAAGGAUCUCUUUAGAGGAUAGAAUCGAGUUUGUGGCAAGAGAUUUGAUUUCCAUACAAAGAGGCUUUACAGAAUCAGGAAAUAAUCUCACAGACAAUCUUUGCCUAGAAUGCGUUGCAUUAGCAUUGGCUAGAAGUGGUCCAGUGUCUUCUCGUGCCCCUUUCUUUAUGUGUCUUGCUUUUGCAUUGUUGACUGGAAAUUUUCCUUUAAGAGCUUUAUAUGCAAAGCUAAUUGAACCCUUGCAUGGUGGUUCUGCUGGACUGAGGCUUAGUGAGGUCAAAGAACAUCUGGAUGGUGUUCUUUUCAAGGAAGCAGGUGCUAUAACUGCUGUUUUCUGCAGUCAGUAUGUUUCAGUUGAUGAAGAGAGUCAAGUUGUGGUGGAGAAUCUUAUAUGGGAUUACUGUAAUUAUAUCUACUUGGAGCACCGACAGGUGGCUUUAGUGCUUCGAGGUAAAGAAGAAGAGUUACUCGUAGAUAUGGAGAAAAUUGCUGAAUCUGCUUUCCUUAUGGUGGUAGUUUUUGCAUUGGCAGUCACAAAACACAAGUUGAACUCGAAAUUCAACCAAGAAACUCAAGUAGAUGUAUCAGUUCGAAUACUAGUUUCGUUUUCUUGUUUGGAGUAUUUCCGGCGUAUUCGACUGCCAGAAUAUAUGGAUACAAUUCGUGGGGUUGUUGCAAGGGUUCAGGAUAAUAAUUCUGCCUGUGUUUCUUUUGUAGAAUCCAUGCCUGCUUAUAUUGAUUUGACAAAUGGACCAGACUUUGCUUUCUUGCGGAAAAUGGAAUACAUAUGGUCGAAAGAUGAGGUUCAAACUGCUCGAAUUCUAUUUUAUUUACGAGUCAUUCCAACUUGCAUUGAACGUUUACCUACCCCUGUAUUCAGGAAGGUGGUGGCUCCAACUAUGUUCUUAUAUCUCGGACAUCCAAAUGGAAAGGUAGCUCGGGCGUCACAUUCUAUGUUUGUAUCGUUCAUAUCUUCAGGGAAGGAUGCUAAUGAGGAUGAGCAAGUGUCCUUAAAGGGGCAGCUUGUGUUCUACUAUAUGGAAAGAUCAUUAUUGGGAUACCCUGGCAUCACUCCUUUUGAGGGUAUGGCUUCUGGUGUUUCAGCUUUGGUGCGACAUCUUCCUGCUGGAAGCCCAGCCAUAUUUUAUUGCAUCCACUCCCUUGCCGCAAAAGCUAAUAGGCUUGUCAAAAAAGACCUCACUCAGCAGGCUGAUAUGUGGAAGAACUGGCAAGGAGAGUCAGAGCCUUGCAAGAAAAUUUUAGAUUUGCUUUUACGGCUUAUUUCUAUAGUUGAUAUACAGGUAUUACCGGACUUGAUGAAGUUGUUUGCACAACUGGUUGUCGAGCUACCACAAGAUGGCCAGAAUAUGGUUCUAAAUGAGUUGUAUUCACAAGUGGCAGAAUCUGAUGAUGUUACACGAAAACCAACAUUAGUUUCAUGGGUACAGUCAUUAUCUUACCUUUGUUUUCAAGGUGUGACAUCCCGGAAGCAGAAAAGUGAGGAGAAUGUUGCUUACGCUCAGACUAUAGACCCAUCAACCCAUACUGGCAUAAAUGCACGACUUUGAGACAUGGAGGGCCCAGAACUUUCAAUUUCUGCAAUUCUUUCUUGCGGGAAACUCUAUUCAACUUGUGUUGAACUUCUUUCUGAUGUGCUGCUCAAAUAAAAUGGCACGUUGUUUGGUUCCAUGGAAUUGUUUUUCCCUGUAAAAUACACCAAAUAAAGUUGUCGGUUUGUCUGACCAGGGUGGGAAACAUUAAUGCACUGACAGCUUCGAAAUGACAGACAUGGGGUAUAUUGAAUUAGUGAAGCAACUGAAGACUCUGUAGACAUCCAGGUUUUUCGUUUUUUGUUGGUUUCUAAUCAGGAGCCCUUCUGUGGAACUUUAGUUCCAAAAAAUAGGUACAAUUUUGUUUUUUUUGUUUUUUAGUUUUUUUCUCCCCAAAGUCAGCUAAUAUAUCCUCGGAUGGGCAAUUUAGAAGAUAUGGCUUGCAGGUUUUAUGCUUGACGAGUCUUAGUGCAACAUCUGCCAUUUUCUUUGCUUAUUUAUUUAUUUUUUUUUUUGGGGAAGGGCUGAGCUGUGGUUGUACCCUGCCUUUGUUUCAUAUACAGCUUGAAGUACAUAAAAUGGUUCUGCAACAGAGUUUAUCAAGUAUAGUAUGAGCUUUGGGUUAAGAUAUAGAAUGAAUUGUUGUACCGAUGUUUCUCUUUGGGAAUUGUUCCUUCAUUUAUGCAAAAGUAUCAUUGAAAAACUUUUGUAUAAUAUUAAAAACAGGAAAAUAAAUGGACAUUUUACUUUUAAUAA